rnacentral:rRNA from 1 species
GAUGAACGCUGGCGGCGUGCCUAAUACAUGCAAGUCGAGCGAACAGACGAGGAGCUUGCUCCUCUGACGUUAGCGGCGGACGGGUGAGUAACACGUGGGUAACCUACCUAUAAGACUGGGAUAACUUCGGGAAACCGGAGCUAAUACCGGAUAAUAUAUUGAACCGCAUGGUUCAAUAGUGAAAGACGGUUUUGCUGUCACUUAUAGAUGGAUCCGCGCCGCAUUAGCUAGUUGGUAAGGUAACGGCUUACCAAGGCAACGAUGCGUAGCCGACCUGAGAGGGUGAUCGACCACACUGGAACUGAGACGCGGUCCAGACUCCUACGGGAGGCAGCAGUAGGGAAUCUUCCGCAAUGGGCGAAAGCCUGACGGAGCAACGCCGCGUGAGUGAUGAAGGUCUUCGGAUCGUAAAACUCUGUUAUUAGGGAAGAACAAAUGUGUAAGUAACUAUGCACGUCUUGACGGUACCUAAUCAGAAAGCCACGGCUAACUACGUG